rnacentral:rRNA from 1 species
AGAGUUUGAUCCUGGCUCAGGACGAACGCUGGCGGCGUGCCUAAAACAUGCAAGUCGAACGAGGUCCAUCCAGUGGCAACACUGGGGAAGACCUAGUGGCGAACGGGUGAGUAACACGUGAGGAACCUGCCCCGAAGACCGGGAUAACCCUCCGAAAGGAGAGCUAAUACCGGAUGCCCCCACCAGAUCGCAUGGUCAGGUGAGGAAAUGGAUUCCGCUUCGGGAGGGCCUCGCGGCCUAUCAGCUUGUUGGUGGGGUAACGGCCUACCAAGGCAUCGACGGGUAGCUGGUCUGAGAGGACGAUCAGCCACACUGGGACUGAGACACGGCCCAGACUCCUACGGGAGGCAGCAGUUAGGAAUCUUGCGCAAUGGGCGAAAGCCUGACGCAGCAACGCCGCGUGGGGGACGAAGGCUCUCGGGUUGUAAACCCCUUUCAGUGGGGACGAAUCAAGACGGUACCCACAGAAGAAGCCCCGGCCAACUACGUGCCAGCCGCCGCGGUAAUAC